rnacentral:rRNA from 1 species
CCAAUAGCGUAUAUUAAAGUUGUUGCAGUUAAAAAGCUCGUAGUUGAACUUCGGGGUUUACCCAUUGGUCAGGCUUAAUUGUCUGUACUGGUGAGAUGAAUCUCUACCUUCUGAGGAACUUUCAUGCCAUUUAUUUGGUGUGAUGGGAAAUCAGGACUGUUACUUUGAAAAAAUUAGAGUGUUUAAAGCAGGCUAACGUCUGAAUACAUUAGCAUGGAAUAAUGAAAUAGGACGGACUGAUUCUAUUUCGUUGGUUUCUAGGAUCACCGUAAUGAUUAAUAGGGAUAGUUGGGGGCAUUAGUAUUCAAUUGUCAGAGGUGAAAUUCUUGGAUUUAUUGAAGACUAACUACUGCGAAAGCAUUUGUCAAGGAUGUUUUCAUUAAUCAAGAACGAAAGUUAGGGGAUCGAAGACGAUCAGAUACCGUCGUAGUCUUAACCAUAAACUAUGCCGACUAGGGAUCGGACGAAGUUAAUUUUAUAAUGACGCGUUCGGCACCUUACG